CAGUAGCCACGGUAAUACGUAGGGUGCAAGCGUUAAUCGGAAUUACUGGGCGUAAAGCGUACGCAGGCGGUUAUAUAAGUCAGAUGUGAAAUCCCCGGGCUCAACCUGGGAACUGCAUUUGAGACUGUAUGGCUAGAGUGUGUCAGAGGGGGGUAGAAUUCCACGUGUAGCAGUGAAAUGCGUAGAUAUGUGGAGGAAUACCGAUGGCGAAGGCAGCCCCCUGGGAUAACACUGACGCUCAUGCACGAAAGCGUGGGGAGCAAACAGGAUUAGAUACCCGUGUAGUCCCUGUCUCUUAUAC
rnacentral:rRNA from 1 species